rnacentral:rRNA from 1 species
AGAGUUUGAUUAUGGCUCAGAACGAACGCUUGCUGCAUGCUUUAUACAUGCAAGUCGAACGGAGGCCCUAGCUUGCUAGGUGUCCUUAGUGGCGCACGGGUGAGUAACACGUGGGAACAUACCUCAUAGUACGGAAUAACUGCGGGAAACUGUAGCUAAUACCGUAUAUUCCAGUAAUGGGAAAGAUUUAUCGCUAUGAGAUUGGCCCGCGCAAGAUUAGUUUGUUGGUAAGGUAAUGGCUUACCAAGGCUACGAUCUUUAGCUGGUUUGAGAGGAUGAUCAGCCACACUGGGACUGAGACACGGCCCAGACUCCUACGGGAGGCAGCAGUAGGGAAUAUUGGACAAUGGGGGCAACCCUGAUCCAGCAAUGCAGCGUGAGUGACGAAGGCCUUAGGGUUGUAAAACUCUUUCAUCGGUGAGGAUAAUGACAGUAGCCGAAGAAGAAGGACCGGCUAAUUCCGUGCCAGCAGCCGCGGUAAUACGGAAGGUCCUAGCGUUGUUCGGAAUUACUGGGCGUAAAGCGCAUGUAGGCGGAACAGAAAGUUAGAAGUGAAAUCCCUGGGCUCAACCUAGGAAUUGCUUUUAAAACUUCUGUUCUGGAAUUCAGGAGAGGAAAAUGGAAUAUCCAGUGUAGAGGUGAAAUUCGUAGAUAUUGGAUGGAACACCAGUGGCGAAGGCGAUUUUCUGGACUGAUAUUGACGCUGAGAUGCGAAGGCAUGGGUAGCAAACGGGAUUAGAUACCCCGGUAGUCCAUGCAGUAAACGAUGGGUGCUAGUCGUCGGACUUAUGUUCGGUGUCGUAGCUAACGCGUUAAGCACCCCGCCUGGGGAGUACGGUCGCAAGAUUAAAACUCAAAUAAAUUGACGGGGACCCGCACAA